UUCGGUCAGUGUCGGUUUGUUUCAAGAGAUCCGCCGUUCUCGCGACGCGCGCACCGACUGGAAAAUGUGAAACGAAAGAUUCGCGCUCGAUGAAUAACGACAGAAAGCCGCCGUGCGGACGUCGACGUGUAGAUGAAAGAUGGUAUCUUAACGGAAGCGCUGAAGGGUGUUUCAUCGGCAGCAUUAUGACCUCAGAGACGUGGAGAGCAUCCAGUGAGAUCUCACGGUGAGACAUUACCCAGCGUCUGUUCUCCUCUUCACCUCUGGUGUCCUGAAGCUGUCACUCCAACGCAUCAAGAUGACCGGCAGGCGUCUGGGGAGACACCCCCCUCACGUGGCCGGGAACAUCUGAGCCCCCUGGUUGACCCGUGGACGGAGAACAUGGCUCAGACGAGUCUGCUGCAGGGUAAACGCUUCUACUGCAGAGAGUGGGUCUUCCACAAGAUUCAGCACUGCCUUCAGGAGAAAUCCAACAGCCCCGGAAUCACAGAAGCGCCCGUCGGCGGGCCGUCAUCUGGAGCGGGGAAGGGCGGCUUGUGGGGGGUUCUGCUGGUGGGCGGUCCUGGCAGCGGAAAGACGGCUUUAUGUACAGAGUUACUGUGGCCCACUUCUGUUCCCGGCGUCCACCGCGGCCUGCACCAGCACUGUCUGGCCUUUCACUUCUGUCGGGCGGAGGACUCGGACACGCUGUGUGUGAGCGGCUUCAUCCGCGCGCUGGUGUCGCAGAUAUGUCGCUCUGAACUCGUCCCGGGUUACGAGGAGAAAGUGAGAGAGCCGGCGGUUCAGAACGCUCUGCAGCCCGGAGAAUGCGAGAGGAACCCAGCCGAGAGUUUCAAGAGGUGUGUUUUGUUGCCGUUGUUGAGCUGUAAGGCUCCUCCUCAGGCUCUCUUUGUGUUGGUGGAUUCAGUGGAUGAGGACUCUUCUGUAGGGGACAGAGGUCAGAGGUCAGGUAACAUCACUGAGCUGCUGGCCGCCCAUCAUGAGCUCUUUCCUCCCUGGCUGCUUCUCAUCUGCUCCGCCCGCCGACAGAACAAACACAUCACCAAACUCUUCACAGGUUUUCCAAAGAUCAGUCUGGAUGACCUGCGGAAGGCUUACAUAGUCAAAGACGUGCAGCAGUACAUACUGCACCGGCUGGACCAGGAGGAGGCGCUGCGGCAACACCUCACCAAGGAGACGGCUGAGAUGCUGAACCAACUUCACAUCAAAAGCAGCGGGUGCUUCCUGUACCUUGAGCGUGUUCUGGACGGAGUGGUGGAAAACUUCAUCAUGCUUCGGGAGAUUCGAGACAUCCCUGGCACUCUGAACGGACUCUACCUGUGGCUCUGCCAGAGACUGUUUGUUAGAAAGCAGUUCGCCAAAGUCCAGCCCGUCCUCAACGUGAUUCUGUCUGCCUGCAGGCCGCUGACCAUCCGAGAGCUCUAUCACGCCGUCUGGACUAAAAACACCACUCUGACCAUGGAGGACUUUCAGAAGAAGACAGACAUUCUCUCCAAGCUGCUUGUCAACGGACUGGCCAACACAAAGAUCUUGUUUCACUACAGUUUCGCAGAAUGGCUCCUGGAUGUUAAACACUGCACACAAAAGUACCUUUGCAAUGCAGCCGAAGGACAUCGUAUGAUGGCUAUGAGUUACACGUGCAGAGCCAAGCAGCUUAAACCGCUAGAGGUUCAGGAGUUUGCCUAUCAUCUCAUCAACUCCAACCUGAAGAUCGAGCCCUUUCAUCUCGCUCUGUGGAUGGUGUGGAACGGCACACCCGCUAAAGACUCGCUGUCCACCUCCAUACCCAAGGAGCAGGAAGUCCUUCAACUGCUGGUCAAAGCAGGUGCUCACGUCAGCAGUGAAGAUGAUCGUUCUUCAUGUAUCGUGCAGCAGGCCCUUGAACGCGAGGACUCCAUCAGGACUCUACUGGAUAACGGAGCGUCCCUCGAUCAAACCGACUCCAGCGGGAGAACUCUGUUAGCCAAUGCUGCCUACAGUGGAAAUCUGGAUGUGGUGAACCUCCUCAUCUCCAGAAAAUCAGACAUGGAGUUGAAGGACAACCACGGACAAACAGCGCUUACUCUUGCUGCGAGACAGGGUCACACCAAGGUAGUCAACUGUCUCAUCGGCUGCGACGCUAACAUCAACCACACGGACCACGAUGGCUGGACUGCCCUUAGGUCGGCGGCUUGGGGAGGUCACUCGGAGGUGGUGUCCGCGCUUCUGUACGCAGGCGCCAGGGUGGACUGCGCAGACGCAGACAGCAGGACAGCUCUGAGAGCGGCCGCUUGGGGAGGUCAUGAAGACAUCGUCCUCAAUCUUCUACAGCACGGAGCUGAAGUCAACAAGGCCGAUAAUGAAGGACGAACUGCACUGAUCGCUGCGGCCUACAUGGGUCACAGAGAGAUCGUGGAGCAUCUGCUGGGUCACGGGGCCGAGGUGAACCACCAGGACGUGGAUGGCAGGACCGCACUGUCUGUAGCCGCUCUUUGUGUGCCCGCCAGCAAGGGUCACGGCGCUGUCGUGAGCUUACUGAUCGACCGCGGAGCCGAGGUGGACCACUGCGACAAAGACUGCAUGACGCCGCUGCUGGUGGCUGCCUACGAAGGCCACGUGGACGUUGUAGAUCUGCUUCUAGAAGGAGGAGCGGAUGUGGAUCACACUGAUAAUAAUGGGAGAACUCCUCUGCUCGCCGCGGCGUCUAUGGGACACGCUUCUGUUGUCAACACGCUGCUUUUCUGGGGCGCGGCGGUGGACAGUAUUGACAGUGAAGGCAGGACCGUCCUGAGCAUUGCGUCUGCACAGGGGAACGUGGAGGUGGUGAGAACUCUGCUGGACAGAGGACUGGAUGAGAACCAUCGAGAUGAUGCGGGCUGGACGCCGCUACACAUGGCAGCUUUUGAGGGACACAGACAAGUGUGUGAUGCGCUCAUCGAACAAGGCGCCCGAUGCUCGGAAAUUGACAAUGACGGACGCAUGCCUUUGAUUUUAGCUGCUCAAGAGGGUCAUUAUGACUGCCUGCACAUCCUGCUGGAGACUGAGUCAUCUCUGGACCAGCGAGGGUACGAUGGGAGAAACGCUCUCAGAGUUGCAGCGCUGGAGGGACACCGGGAUAUCGUGGAGUUGUUGCUGAGUCACGGGGCUGAUAUUGACUUCAAGGAUGCGGAUGGCCGUCCGACUCUUUACAUCCUGGCGCUUGAGAAUCAGCUGGCCAUGGCAGAGUACUUUCUGGAAAAUGGAGCCAACGCUGAGGCCAGUGACACAGAAGGAAGGACAGCGCUGCACGUGUCAUGUUGGCAGGGACACCUAGAGAUGGUCAGACUAUUGAUCAACAAUCAUGCUGACGUGAACUCGUGUGAUAAUGAAAAGAGAUCUGCUCUCCAGUCUGCAGCCUGGCAGGGUCACGUGAAAGUUGUUCGGAUUUUGAUCGACAGUGGUACUGGCGUAGACCACACGUGUAACCAGGGUGCCACCGCUCUCUGCAUCGCCGCUCAGGAAGGACACGUCGAUGUGGUUCAGAUUCUUCUAGAACACGGUGCAGAUCCCAAUCACGCCGAUCAGUUUGGCCGAACGGCCAUGAGAGUGGCGGCCAAAGGCGGUCACACGUCCAUCACUAAACUCUUGGAGAAAUACGGCGGCACAAGUCUGAACGGCUGCAACCCGUCUCCCAUUCACACGCUUGAGCAACAAACGCCGGCGUCAGUAAGUGCCAAAGUUCAGUCUCUCACUAUAAAGUCCAGCAGCUCUGGAAGCACCGGAGCUGGAGACCGCUGCCGAUCCAACGGACCCAUCCGUGCCUUCAGCUCUCCGUCAGAGUCACCGGACUCAACGGUGGACAGGCAGAAGUCCUCUCUCUCCAACAACUCCCUCAAAAGUUCAAAGAACUCUUCACUGAGGACCACUUCAUCCACUGCCACAGCCCAGACCGUUCCCAUCGACAGCGUCCACACUCUUUCCUUCAUUGAGCAGAUCCAACAGCAUUCGCUGCCUCGCAGUCGCAGUCGUCAGUCCAUCGUUUCUCCAUCUUCCACCACCAGAUCUGUCAGCACUCAGCCGGGCUCUCCCACCACAGAGUUCGACUGGAGCCACAUAAAACCAGGUCUCAAGUCCACUAACGCCUCCAAGAACGGCUACGGCUGCUCAAACAAAGGAACGUCUGGUGAGAAGAAAAAGUCCAAGAACAGCUCUCAGGUUCUGGAGUACGAGCUGACUCAGUUUGACAAGAAACUUGGACUCAGUAAGCCGGUGUCCGGCAUCGCACUGAAAGACCCACAGUGUGAGAUUUUAAUGGCUAAGUCCAGUUCUCUGGACUGUCCUCAAGUGCACGAGCAGUUUUACAUUCACUCACAUCAGAGUUGUGCUGAGAAAAAGAGGAACGGCAUACUGACCAAUCCCAACUAUCAUCUGCACGGACACCAGGUGUUUCUGGGGAGGGUUUCGGUCCCCAGAACAGUUCCCAGCAGAGGACAUCAGGACCUCUUAGACAGUUACCAAAUAGCAGAGACUGAAAUAAGCUUGAAACAAGCCCUACAGCUGCAGAUUGAAGGAUCAGACUGUAAGAAAGAGACGCCGUUAUAACUGUUCUGUUGCUCUUUCAGAUGUCUUCAUCUUUACGCCUCAUUCAGAAAGAGACUGUGCCAAAGCAAACGCUUUCAUGGACUGUGGUUGGUGUAAAGAAGAAGAAAGCAGCGUGAGAGAAGUGAAGGAGCCAUCAGGUGGCGCGGUGGAAACUUGUGCCUGUCGAUGAUGAUCAUGAUGCACACGGAUGCUUUUAAUUUAAAGCUUAAUUAUUUAAUAGGCAGUGGAUGCACUUUCUCCCUUUUCUACAUUUUCUUUCUUUUUUGACCUAAAUUGUAUUUUUUGUCUUUUGAUGCGUCGUUCCUAUCAGAAUUAUGUUCAGAAACGGCUGUACGUUUGUGUUUUAUGUUUGUUUUGUCUUUCAAACUGACAGCAAUGUGCCACUGGAGUACAUUGACAAACAUUGUAUAUUGAGUCAUUCAAUAUUCAUAUAAAUCUCACGCUAACGUUUUUCACUCAAAACUUAUGUAUAUAGAUCAGUUUUAAAUGUAGUCUGUGUUUAGGGCGACUGAGAUGUUCUGCAUUGUGACAAAUUCUCAUCGUUAUGUAAAGAAAUGUCAUUCUCAUGACUGUAAUGUGUUUGUGGGUCAUUGAAAAUAGCCGUAAAUUCUGUAAAACAUUUUCCACAUUCAAAUAUUCAUGGAUUAUAGACGCCACAACAACAAAAAACUGCAAACUCCAAGAUUCUUCAAAUUGAGUGUGUAUGAUUGUCACAAUUCUGGAUCUAAACACAGACUUCACUUUCUGUAUGCAGAAGAUGUUUUUCUCAUUAUCACGAUUGGUAAAAGAGCGGUUGUGUGUGCUUUCUGAUAAUAUCAUGGUGCUAUGUUUUGCUUUUGUUUAGUUUUUCUCAUUUGGUUUGGCCUGAGCGUGGAAGAUCUUAUCUCAUGUUGUGUUGAGUGUUUGUGGCGAUACAGAAGAGAUCCUCCUCCUUCACUUCAUCAUUUAGUCCCUGUGGGACCUGUUUUGUUAUUUUUUGUGUAUUUUUCUGUUGCUUUAUUUACAUAUUUAAACUGUGUAUUGAGUUCGGUGCUCAAUGCUGAGUUCUCAGAGACGGAAGCUUGUGUCAGGGAUUUCAGAUGUAAACGUUAUUUUGAACUCAUGUCGAGCAGCAGACGGCAGGAAGAUUUGUGUUUCAGGACUGGGGUUGAAAUCUGUUCUCUUCAAGCCAAAGUUAAAACGGUGAGACGACAUCUGUGUGCUGCUCUCGUCCGUGUUGUGUUUCAGAGAGAGAGGGAGAGAGAGAGAGAGAGAGAGAGAGAGAGAGAGAGGAACCCUGGACAGUAUUCAGUAAUCUCAAGCCAUCUGUUUCUUUCUUUCUCUCGUCUUCACUUCUGAACCUGAAGUUAAACUCAAGCAGACUAUUCACAUUGAAAACAUUUACAUUUUGAUUUUUUUUCUGCUAUAUUGAGCUCCAUUAUUUGACAUAUUAAAGUGCUUAAUAAACAUAUCUGCCUUUCUGCCAAAGCAAUUCAUCUGUCCAUGUGACUUUUCUUCUCCAUGUGUGCCGUUUGCUGUUACUCAUAAGAGUUAAAGAAACAUCAAGAGAGUUUUCUGAGGACGUUGAGGUAUUUUAUCACCUGACGGAAGAUUAAAAGAGGAAAUGAAUACAUUUAGAACUAACGUGUAAUGUUUGCCUUUAUAUAAGCAUGAAAACGAAUUAUGCAAUUAAGUCCAAAGUGACAUUUGUCACAAGAUCUGACCUGAUAACUGAUAUGAUAAAGAAUUGAGUAAGAUCAGAUGUUUUUGAGGUUUGUGUUUUUAGAAUGAUGUGAAGUACAGAUCCUCAAUGUUACACAUUUCAUGAGUGUUGUUGAAAUGCUCCAGAAUCCUAAAUAUAAAUAUAUAGAACAUGUCAAGGUGAAUCAGUCGGAUUCAUUUAUAUCAUGAUCUUAAUUUGUUUAAGAUUUCAGAUGUGAUCUGGACUGAACCCGCUAGCGUUUGAUCUGCUUGUGUAAGUAACCGACAGCAUGUCAUUGUGUUGAAAAAAUCUUCUGACAGGUUUGAUCCAGAGGUGUGAGAUUACACACACAAACACACACACAGAUAACAUGACUAAAGAGUGUUGUGACUGGAUGUAAAGUCAGUGAAAUCUGUGAUUCACGAUGAGAACAGAUUUCAGAAACACUCAGGAACCUUCAUGACUCACAAACACAGAGUGAGAACGAGACCUGUGUGUGUUUGUUUCUUCAGCAGAAUGUGUGAGAUGUGUUUUAUCAUUCAUUCACUCUUGUGCUGCAUGUAUUGUGAAGGUAACACCAUGAGGCUGAUGACAGAUGUUGUGUUUAUUGUGUGGUUUUAUUCCUUUAAUUGUUCUACUGUGACAUAGAUCAAUAGAUUCUAAUAGUGUGAUUGUGUUGGGUUCUUUAUGCAGGUUGUGUGUGUGCGCUUGCGUGUGUGUGUGUGUGUCAGUGUGUGGUGUAAUGAUGUCACUGCAGCUGCUGUGGAUGUUCUGAUGCGAGUUCUCCUGACAACAGCUCAACAUCUCGUAAACACAGAAAACUGCAGUCAUGAGGGUGAAGAGCUGAACGACACAAGCUGCUGCAGACUUUCUGUAGACCUGAAGUGUCUCUGUUCUGGAGAAGAAUAAACCCCUCCUACCUCCUCCUGUCACUCCAGACGUCUCGUGUGUGAUCGACUUAAGUCAUCAUCUGAAGAUGUGUUUGUGUGGCCCCCUGUGGAGUGGCCUGAGUGAACAAGAGACUGUCGACCCCACAGAAGGCAGUAAAUUCUCUCUUCUGAAAUGUGAUCAUAGGACCACGAGCUGAACUAUCCGAUCUGAAUCUGAUCUCUAAAGACAGCAGGAACAUAACGACCCACACAAACUAACUGUCAUCACUGCUAUUUCAGUUCCAAAGUAUUUUUGCAUCUUGUUUGUGAUGAUUGUUGUGUGGACAGAACCAUUAUAUCAUUAUUCACAGAACUGAUGACAGAGAGACAUUCAGCUGUCUUUACAAAGUCACAGUGUGUGUGUGUGUGUGUGUGUGUUUGCGUGCGUGUGUGUUUGCGUGCGUGUGUGUGUGUGCAUACAUGUGUGCAUGUGUGCUGUCCUGUAUUGUCUCUCUCUCUUCUGUGUUGUGCAGUGUUGUGAAGUGUUUGUGUGUGUUUGACCUACUAAAGUCUCAGUGUUGUUUUUCACUCAGAUGGUUUGGUCUGUUGGCAGCGUCUCAGCACUGGACUACAGCCAUCCACAUCUGCACUCGCUUGGUUUCCACCGCUAUAACAUGCACACACACACACACACACACACACACAUACACACACAUGCACGCACGCACCCAUACACACACACGCACACACGCAUACACACACACACACACACAGAUACAUACACACGCACGCAUACACACGCACGCAUACACACACACGCACACGCGCAUACACACGCACGCACGCGCACACACACACACGAGAUUUUCAUAUGUUACACAAUCAUCACUUCAGGUGCUUUUACACUUCAGAAUAUGAAAAACUGCAAACUAUGCAAACAUUUUAUAUGAUAGAAUAAUGUUUUAUUGUCAGUGUGUUUUCAAACUUUUGCUCUGUCACAUCAGAGGACACAUCUUACUCUAAAUUUUAUUGGAUUUACUCUCCCAUAUGAAGUUUAAAAUCUACAUGAUGAUUAAUGAAUCAAAGAUAUAAAUGAGUGUGUAGUGUGUUAUAAAUGAAUAUCACAGUGACAAUUAUUACAGUAACACUAUGAUAAAUAAUAAUUGACUGUUGAAUGUUUUUCUGUAAGUUGAACACACAAACACACAAUCUGCUGGUGUUGGAAUAUAUAAAAGUGGACAAUACAGAGAAACACAUCAGGUGAGGAGAUGAUUCUUCACUUUAAACUUUGAGCAAUAAUGAAGCUUGAUAUAAUAGGUGUGUGUGUGUGUGUGUAAACAAUACUAAUACACAAUUGUCCAGUAGAAUAACACUGCUCAGAGAUGUCUCUUCUGAGAAUAGACGUCAUUUCUUACAAAUCCUCCAGUAAACAGAACACACAUGAGACUGAAGAUGUGAUGAAAUGUGCCGUGACAUCAUAUGCUGAUUUAUAUUAAUAUUAUAUAGUCAGACUCUCUCGGCACAGUGACUGACAGGACGCAGUGUGACACGUGUGGUUUCAGGUGUUUUGUUGUCUGUAUUUUACAGUUUGACAUAUUUAAACUACUUCAAUAUAUUUCACUUUAAAAUAAUGAAGCACCAAUAAUGUCACAGAAAGCAGUGACAUUUGCUUAACUUACAAACCUUCAAACUGUUAUUCAAAGCAAACACACACAUGACGCUAAAGCAACACAACAUUUACAAACAUGUAUUAACAGUGACAUAAACAUCAUCAUGUGCAUAUAUACCGUAUAUACCUGUCAUAACAGUCUGGUUUUCUAUCAUUCCUUUAGUGUUUCACUGUGUCUAUAUUUAUUAUUUCUGUAUAUCUUUUUUU